rnacentral:lncRNA from 1 species
UGGGCUGGGCCGCGAGCGAGCGUACCGGGAGGGGAUGGGCGCGCAGCUCGCCGCGGGGCAGGGGCAGCGUGCUCCGCCACUCCGGAAUAAGGCGGUUCACCCGAGGUGUGGGUUCUCUCGGGGACAGUACACUCUCAGGGACAGUGGGGUUCCCAGGGCUAGUGAGUUUAAGGGACAGUAUGUUCCCAGGGGCGGUGGGUCCCAAAGGGCAGUGAGUUCCCAGGAACAGUGGGCUCUCAGGGUCAUCAAGGAUCUCAGGACCAAGGAGAACCACACACAAGGAGAACGUGGGAAGUCACAGAACAAUGGGUUUCCAGAGAAGUGGAGAUUCUCAGGACCAAGAAGGACAUGCUAAGGACAGCAGCAUCUCCAGGAAGGCUGUGUCAACUGGAGAUUCUUCAGCUUCAGCCUCUUAGGUGGUAGAUCACAAGUGUGUACUACCUAACCUAGCUAAAAAGAACGAACCUAGCUAAAAAGAACUGUGUAGUUUAAAAGGGAGAAGUUACUGAAGAUCAAACCUUGGGUCUCCAGGAAUGAUGGCCAUACCCCUGAGCUGCAGCCGAGGCUCUAGUUUCCU